GGGCCGGUAGUUAAACGGCAUAACGCUGCCUUCGCACGGCAGAGGCUCCGGGUUCAAUUCCCGGCCGGUCCA
rnacentral:tRNA from 1 species